UUCCGGUUGAUCCCGCCGGAGGCCACUGCUAUCGGAGUUCGAUUAAGCCAUGCGAGUCGAGAGGUGCAAGACCUCGGCAUACUGCUCAGUAACACGUGGAUAAUCUACCCUGCGGAGGGGGAUAACCCCGGGAAACUGGGGAUAAUACCCCAUAGACUAUGGAUGCUGGAAUGCUCUGUAGCCGAAAGGUCCGCCGCCGCAGGAUGAGUCUGCGGCCGAUUAGGUUGUUGUUGGGGUAACGGCCCAACAAGCCUGUAAUCGGUACGGGUUGUGGGAGCAAGAGCCCGGAGAUGGAUUCUGAGACACGAAUCCAGGCCCUACGGGGCGCAGCAGGCGCGAAAACUUUGCAAUGCGGGAAACCGUGACAAGGGAACUCCGAGUGCCCGUAAAUUCGGGCUGUCCGCCAGUUUAAAUCACUGGUGAAGAAAGGGCCGGGCAAGACCGGUGCCAGCCGCCGCGGUAAUACCGGCGGCUCGAGUGGUGGCCACUAUUACUGGGCUUAAAGCGUUCGUAGCUGGUCUGUUAAGUCUCUGGGGAAAUCUUCCGGCUUAACCGGAAGGCGUCUCAGGGAUACUGGCAGACUAGGGACCGGGAGAGGUGAGGGGUACUCCAGGGGUAGGAGUGAAAUCCUGUAAUCCUUGGGGGACCACCUGUGGCGAAGGCGCCUCACCAGAACGGCUCCGACAGUGAGGAACGAAAGCUGGGGGAGCAAACCGGAUUAGAUACCCGGGUAGUCCCAGCUGUAAACGAUGCGCGUUAGGUGUAUCGGUGACCACGAGUCACCGAGGUGCCGAAGAGAAAUCGUGAAACGUGCCGCCUGGGAAGUACGGUCGCAAGGCUGAAACUUAAAGGAAUUGGCGGGGGAGCACCACAACGGGUGGAGCCUGCGGUU
rnacentral:rRNA from 1 species